rnacentral:rRNA from 1 species
AACAAACGCUGGCGGCGUGCCUAAUACAUGCAAGUCGAACGGGGAAAGCUUUCGGGUGAGUACUAGUGGCGCACGGGUGAGGAACGCGUGGAUAAUCUGCCUUAGAGUGGGGGAUAACUAGUCGAAAGAUUAGCUAAUACCGCAUAAGACAACAGGAGCUGCGGCUCUAGGGGUCAAAGGUUUUUCGCUCUAAGAUGAGUCCGCGUAGAAUUAGCUAGUUGGUGAGGUAACGGCUCACCAAGGCGACGAUCUUUAACUGGUCUGAGAGGAUGCUCAGUCACACUGGAACUGAGACACGGUCCAGACUCCUACGGGAGGCAGCAGUAGGGAAUAUUGCACAAUGGAUGAAACUCUGAUGCAGCGACGCCGCGUGAGUGAUGAAGGCCUUCGGGUCGUAAAGCUCUGUCGCAGGGGAAUAACACAAUGAAUGUACCCUGUAAGAAAGGAUCGGCUAACUUCGUGCCAGCCGCCGCCGUAAUAC